rnacentral:rRNA from 1 species
UACAGAGGGUGCGAGCGUUGUCCGGAAUCACUGGGCGUAAAGGGCGCGUAGGUGGCCCGACAAGUCCGUGGUGAAAGCUCGACGCUCAACGUCGAGUCGGCCAUGGAUACUGUUGGGCUGGAGCACUGUAGAGGCUCAUGGAAUUCCGGGUGUAGCGGUGGAAUGCGUAGAGAUCCGGAAGAGCACCGGUGGCGAAGGCGGUGAGCUGGGCAGUUGCUGACACUGAGGCGCGACAGCGUGGGGAGCAAACAGG